UUCGGCUAGGGGGCCAUCCCGGCUUACCAACCCGAUGCAAACUGCGAAUACCGGAGAAUGUUAUCACGGGAGACACACGGCGGGUGCUAACGUCCGUCGUGAAGAGGGAAACAACCCAGACCGCCAGCUAAGGUCCCAAAGUCAUGGUUAAGUGGGAAACGAUGUGGGAAGGCCCAGACAGCCAGGAUGUUGGCUUAGAAGCAGCCAUCAUUUAAAGAAAGCGUAAUAGCUCACUGGUCGAGUCGGCCUGCGCGGAAGAUGUAACGGGGCUAAACCAUGCACCGAAGCUGCGGCAGCGACGCUGAUGCGUUGUUGGGUAGGGGAGCGUUCUGUAAGCCUGCGAAGGUGUGUCGUGAGGCAUGCUGGAGGUAUCAGAAGUGCGAAUGCUGACAUAAGUAACGAUAAAGCGGGUGAAAAGCCCGCUCGCCGGAAGACCAAGGGUUCCUGUCCAACGUUAAUCGGGGCAGGGUGAGUCGACCCCUAAGGCGAGGCCGAAAGGCGUAGUCGAUGGGAAACGGGUUAAUAUUCCCGUACUUGGUGUUACUGCGAAGGGGGGACGGAGAAGGCUAUGUUGGCCGGGCGACGGUUGUCCCGGUUUAAGCGUGUAGGUGUGUGUUCCAGGUAAAUCCGGUUCACUUUAACACUGAGGCGUGAUGACGAGGCACUACGGUGCUGAAGCAACAAAUGCCCUGCUUCCAGGAAAAGCCUCUAAGCAUCAGGUAACAUCAAAUCGUACCCCAAACCGACACAGGUGGUCAGGUAGAGAAUACCAAGGCGCUUGAGAGAACUCGGGUGAAGGAACUAGGCAAAAUGGUGCCGUAACUUCGGGAGAAGGCACGCUGACACGUAGGUGAAGUGAUUUACUCAUGGAGCUGAAGUCAGUCGAAGAUACCAGCUGGCUGCAACUGUUUAUUAAAAACACAGCACUGUGCAAACACGAAAGUGGACGUAUACGGUGUGACGCCUGCCCGGUGCCGGAAGGUUAAUUGAUGGGGUCAGCGCAAGCGAAGCUCCUGAUCGAAGCCCCGGUAAACGGCGGCCGUAACUAUAACGGUCCUAAGGUAGCGAAAUUCCUUGUCGGGUAAGUUCCGACCUGCACGAAUGGCGUAAUGAUGGCCAGGCUGUCUCCACCCGAGACUCAGUGAAAUUGAACUCGCUGUGAAGAUGCAGUGUACCCGCGGCAAGACGGAAAGACCCCGUGAACCUUUACUAUAGCUUGACACUGAACAUUGAGCCUUGAUGUGUAGGAUAGGUGGGAGGCUUUGAAGUGUGGACGCCAGUCUGCAUGGAGCCGGCCUUGAAAUACCACCCUUUAAUGUUUGAUGUUCUAACGUGGACCCGUGAUCCGGGUUGCGGACAGUGUCUGGUGGGUAGUUUGACUGGGGCGGUCUCCUCCUAAAGAGUAACGGAGGAGCACGAAGGUUGGCUAAUCCUGGUCGGACAUCAGGAGGUUAGUGCAAUGGCAUAAGCCAGCUUGACUGCGAGCGUGACGGCGCGAGCAGGUGCGAAAGCAGGUCAUAGUGAUCCGGUGGUUCUGAAUGGAAGGGCCAUCGCUCAACGGAUAAAAGGUACUCCGGGGAUAACAGGCUGAUACCGCCCAAGAGUUCAUAUCGACGGCGGUGUUUGGCACCUCGAUGUCGGCUCAUCACAUCCUGGGGCUGAAGUAGGUCCCAAGGGUAUGGCUGUUCGCCAUUUAAAGUGGUACGCGAGCUGGGUUUAGAACGUCGUGAGACAGUUCGGUCCCUAUCUGCCGUGGGCGCUGGAGAACUGAGGGGGGCUGCUCCUAGUACGAGAGGACCGGAGUGGACGCAUCACUGGUGUUCGGGUUGUCAUGCCAAUGGCACUGCCCGGUAGCUAAAUGCGGAAGAGAUAAGUGCUGAAAGCAUCUAAGCACGAAACUUGCCCCGAGAUGAGUUCUCCCUGAGACUUAGAGUCUCCUGAAGGAACGUUGAAGACGACGACGUUGAUAGGCCGGGUGUGUAAGCGCAGCGAUGCGUUGAGCUAACCGGUACUAAUGAACCGUGAGGCUUAACCUU
rnacentral:rRNA from 1 species